AACGAACGCUGGCGGCAUGCCUAACACAUGCAAGUCGAACGAGAUCUUCGGGUCUAGUGGCGCACGGGUGCGUAACGCGUGGGAAUCUGCCCUUUGGUUCGGAAUAACAGUUGGAAACGACUGGUAAUACCGGAUGAUGACGAAAGUCCAAAGAUUUAUCGCCAGAGGAUGAGCCCGCGUAGGAUUAGCUAGUUGGUGUGGUAAAGGCGCACCAAGGCGACGAUCCUUAGCUGGUCUGAGAGGAUGAUCAGCCACACUGGGACUGAGACACGGCCCAGACUCCUACGGGAGGCAGCAGUGGGGAAUAUUGGACAAUGGGCGAAAGUCUGAUGUCGCGACGCCGCGUGAAGGAUGAAGGCGUUUUCGUUGUAAACUUCUUUUGCCAAGACAGAGAUGUCUUGGAGAAUAAGCACCUGCUAAUCUCGUGCCAGCAGCCGCCGUAA
rnacentral:rRNA from 1 species